CAACAACCAGCUAACCUUUCUUUCUUCAACACUUUAACCCUAAAACUAAUCCUAACAGUCUUUAACCCUCAAAUUACAGUAUGUGCAUCCAUUAAAGAACGAAUCAUUCACUCAUCCACCCUUCAAACCAAAAAUCCAUGCAUCCGUCAUCCACCCUGUAAAACGCGUCAAACAAAUGUCAUCCAACCACUUUUCAAAUCGGGCAGUUCAUCAAACCCACCAACGUUUCAGCCAUCCACUUUUUGAAUGCAUUCAUACAUUGAACAAUCAACCUUCUAUCCGGGAGUCACUGAUGGUGUAGUGGUACACUCGCCUGACCUUGGUGCAGGCAGCGUGGGUUCAGUUCCCACUCAGUGACGGUGUGAAUGUGAGUGCGAAUGGUUGUCCGUGUCUAUAUGUGCCCUGCGACUGACUGGCGACCAGUUCAGGGUGUAGUCCGCCUUUCGCCCGAAGUCAGCUGGGAUAGGCUCCAGCGUCCCGCGACCCUAACCAGGAUAAGCGGUGUUGAAAAUGGAUGGAACCUUCUAUCCAAUAUCCAUCCAACCAACCAACCUGUCAUUUAUCCACCCUUCAACACUCAAAUCCAUCUAUCCAUCAAAGCAACCAACCUUUCAAUUCAUCCACCAUUGAAGCCUAGAAACCACCCAUCAAUUCAUUAAACUCACCAAACUUCGAUACAUAUCCUUUUAAGCCUCAAAGCAUCCAUCCAUCCAUCCAUCCAUCCAUCCAUACUUUUAUCCACCACCCUUCAUUCCAAAAAUCCAUCCAUCAAACAGAUCCACCCUCAAAUCAAAUCAUUUCCAUCCAUCCACCCGGUAUCAUCUGUUGUUCUGGCAACGUCAGACUUUUACGCACCAUAAACUCGACCUCACACUCUGACCUUGUUUAGCAGAUUCGGUUCUGUGCUCUGGAAGUUACACAGGCCGCUCCCCGGCCAAAACUGAGAGCGGUCAAUAUCACGGACGCCUGCCAGUGUUCAACAUUUGGACAAUGAAACGUGAAAAGUGGAACACAAUCUGAUCCAAGUUCCAAGCUGUUCUCAAUUCUGCGUGAUGGUCUACCGAAACCAAGUUCGAACUUUCUGGCUGUAAUUCCAAAAGGGAAAAGACUGUCUAUUUGAGGUGGAUCUAAGCUAUGGACAAUACUGAGUGACUGAUUCCAUCGCACUGGAUGCCAUCCCACCACCUCCUCGGCAUUCCCACCCUCAUGCCGGAUGGACACGCGUGCAGAUAUCUGCCAUUGUCAUGAGAAGGUGGAAUGUACGAUGACAGGAGUUGGAAACCUACAUAACAAACAAUAAAAUUCUAAUUACCAGCCAGCGCAAACAAUUUUCCCUGCUGUGACAUUUGGACCACAGAACCGUUCAAUUAUUCAUCAGCAUUCUCGGCUUGCUGGAGGAGAGGCCAAAAAAAAUGUAGAAAGUGGGGGGAGUAGGAGGGUACUGAUGUAUUAUUGCUGCUAUAAAACCUCUGUCUGGACAAAUCUGAAUAGCAUAAUCGAGCAUUCACACCCUGUUUCAUAUUUAGAGUGAAAAAUAAAACAGCAGUGACCUUGUAUACAAUUACCAGGCGGUGGGGGGAAAAAAAAGACAAAAUAAAAAUCACAAAUAAGGUGUCAUUCUGGGAAUGAUUUAAUAAUUCGAUAAUUUGGAUCAGCGCCAAAUUACAAUUUAGUAGACCCACCUGCUGCUGUACAUAUAUGCCUUAAUGGUGUAUUGAC